UUUGGACGCUUUGAGCUUACUUGCUUGCCUCUCUAAGUAGCAGUAAGGCGCCGCAUGAUCGGGCGCGGAGCUACGCACGCGCAAAGCCGCGCGCGCGUGCCCAGCCCGCACAGCUGCGGGCGCCUGCCGCACGUGAAGAGAGAGUCAUGUGUUUAUGUAGCGCUGGGCAAGCUGAGUGGUGACAGAUUCGCGCCAGGCCCUCGGCUCGCCGCCGCAGAGUUGUUGCAGCCGGCGAGCUGGCGCUGGCAGCGGCUGUCAUCAGCCUGCCAUCAACAACUGAACUUAGCGCGUGCGCGGAGCGCGCGCAGUCCGGGCUGCGUUCACAAGCACAGCAGCGGGCAAAGGACGGAUACGCGCCUGCGCCCGCGCCGCGGCGACAGCAGCGUCGGCCGUGUCAGAGACUGGCACGCGCAAAGACAGCCGCUACAAAGUCAAAGCCCGUGAGCGUCCUG
rnacentral:rRNA from 1 species